rnacentral:rRNA from 1 species
GCCGUAACUAUAACGGUCCUAAGGUAGCGAAAUUCCUUGUCGGGUAAGUUCCGACCUGCACGAAUGGCGUAAUGAUGGCCACGCUGUCUCCACCCGAGACUCAGUGAAAUUGAAAUCGCUGUGAAGAUGCAGUGUACCCGCGGCUAGACGGAAAGACCCCGUGAACCUUUACUACAGCUUGGCACUGAACAUUGACCCUACAUGUGUAGGAUAGGUGGGAGGCUUUGAAGCACGUACGCCAGUAUGUGUGGAGCCGUCCUUGAAAUACCACCCUUGUAGUGUUGAUGUUCUAACGUCGACCCCUAAUCGGGGUUGCGGACAGUGCCUGGUGGGUAGUUUGACUGGGGCGGUCUCCUCCCAAAGAGUAACGGAGGAGCACGAAGGUGGGCUAAUCACGGUUGGACAUCGUGAGGUUAGUGCAAUGGCAUAAGCCCGCUUGACUGCGAGAAUGACAAUUCGAGCAGGUGCGAAAGCAGGUCAUAGUGAUCCGGUGGUUCUGAAUGGAAGGGCCAUCGCUCAACGGAUAAAAGGUACUCCGGGGAUAACAGGCUGAUACCGCCCAAGAGUUCAUAUCGACGGCGGUGUUUGGCACCUCGAUGUCGGCUCAUCACAUCCUGGGGCUGAAGUCGGUCCCAAGGGUAUGGCUGUUCGCCAUUUAAAGUGGUACGCGAGCUGGGUUUAGAACGUCGUGAGACAGUUCGGUCCCUAUCUGCCGUGGGCGUUGGAAGAUUGAAGGGGGCUGCUCCUAGUACGAGAGGACCGGAGUGGACGAACCUCUGGUGUUCGGGUUGUGUCGCCAGACGCAUUGCCCGGUAGCUAAGUUCGGAAUCGAUAACCGCUGAAAGCAUCUAAGCGGGAAGCGAGCCCUGAGAUGAGUCUUCCCUGAUACUUUAAGUAUCCUAAAGGGUUGUCGGAGACUACGACGUUGAUAGGUCAGGUGUGUAAGUGCUGUGAGGCAUUGAGCUAACUGAUACUAAUUGCCCGUGAGGCUUAACCAUACAACACCCAAGGGGUUU